AGCAGCCGCGGUAAUUCCGGCUCCAAUAGCGUAUAUUAAAGUUGUUGCAGUUAAAAAGCUCGUAGUUGAAUUUCGGAGUUUGUCGGUUGGUCGGGCUUCACUGUCCGCACUGACCUGAUGAAUUCCUACCUUCUGAAUAACCGCAUGCUAUUAAGUUAGUGCGUUGGGGAAGCAGAGCUAUUACCUUGAAAAAAUUAGAGUGCUUAAAGCAGGCUUACGCUUGAAUAGAUUAGCAUGGAAUAAUAAAAUAGGACGGCAUGGUUCUAUUUUGUUGGUUUCUAGGAUCACCGUAAUGAUUAAUAGGGAUAGUUGGGGGCAUUAGUAUUCAAUUGUCAGAGGUGAAAUUCUUGGAUUUAUUGAAGACUAACUUCUGCGAAAGCAUUUGCCAAGGAUGUUUUCAUUAAUCAAGAACGAAAGUUAGGGGAUCGAAGACGAUCAGAUACCGUCGUAGUCUUAACCAUAAACUAUGCCGACUAGGGAUCGGACGAUGUUAAUUUUUAAUGACUCGUUCGGCGCCUUA
rnacentral:rRNA from 1 species